GGUGAGAUGGCCGAGCGGUCUAAGGCGCCAGACUAAGGCGAUCAGUGCAUAGGAUGCACACUUUAUCUGGUCACAUUGUGGCGUGGGUUCGAAUCCCACUCUCAUCA